CCCAGGUCCCCCAGCACCCCGCACCCUAACCCCUACCCACCCCCGCCCCACCCCAUCCCUGUUUCAGGGCUCACUUGGUUCUGGCCCAAGUGGUCCUGGCCAUCGUGCUCCUGCUGUCCUGGGGAGCAGGGUCUGGCAGGAUCAAGUGCAGAAGGGCCCGGACGUGUGAACAGUGUGCAGAGCAAAUGUGAAGCAGCAGCAGGAGAAGAUGGGAGAGGAGGAUAUUUUAAGGGAUUCUCAUUGAGGGGGUCCAUUGGGGGUCCUUGUCUUGCUCCAGUCAUCCUGAGUACCUGCUCUCUGCAGGCCUCCCAGCCGGUGUCAGGCUGUAGGCGGUGGCUGGGCGCCACCUGCUGGGACAGCGUUGGGGUUGCCGCAGAGCUGGCCAAGGGUUUCGGUUGCAGAAGUCCAGCCUACUUGGGGUGGCAGUUUGCCCCGCUGAUGGAUUCCAGCAUCUCCCACCCCUGCCGUGGUUCCUCCUUCACCUCUUUGAGCCUCGGGAGGAUGCUCUUCUGGUCAAGGCAGACCCUGGGCCAGAGUCCGGGGAACCACUUGCCGGUAACUGGUCCUAGGAGCCUGUUGGACGCCCAGAGGCUGGUCAGCAUAGAAGCAGUAGAUGGCAUUCAUGGAGGCAGUGCCUGCCCGCUGUCGCUCUGGCUCCACUUUUCAGCUGUGGGCAAAGGCGUCAGCCUCUCUAGACCUCAGUCUCCUCAUCUGUAGAGUGGUGACAAUAACGCCCAGGUGUCAACUUUGCCCCCUGUGUGUGAGGCCAGGAGCCGUUGCUGAGUGAGCCUCCAGGAUGGCUGACCCCCGUGCUGGGCACGGCUGACCUGUGUUGCCAAGAGGGCGAGGCAGAUGUGGCCAUGUGAUGCCACAGGCUCGGCCACAAACUGCUCUGCAGCCCCAUCUUGUUGUCCCUUGGGUCACUCACUGGGAAAGCUAAAUGAUUGGAGACCAGCUGUCUGCAAGUGCAGGAGGGAGGAACCAGCCCCGCCCACCCUGGCAUCUAGGACGUCCAGCCUCCAGGAUAUGAGGGAAUACGCUUCUGUGACCUGAGCCACGGUCCGUGGUGCUCCGUCACGGCAACCCUGGUGAACUGACACGCGUGUUGUUACUACGUUAAGCUGUCUUGUUCCAGGACCCCUUGUCGGGCAGCAGGUGACCAGCACAGCUAUGAGCAGUGGUACUGAGUCAUGAGCACCAGGCCAUGCUGAGUCCUUCCUGUAGUUUGUCUCCCGAGAGCAUUGGUCCCCACAGCCUGGGUGGGGGCGAUGCUGCUGUCCCCAUCUCGUGGCGUCUCAGGUACUAGCACUUAGGUCCAGCAGGGCUGGAAGGAGGGACAGGCCUUAGGGUCUCUGGGCCAUGCUGGCCUGAGUGCAAACAAAAGCAUUCGGCUCCCUGGCGGGGGAGCGGGCCACAGCAGCAGAGACGGAUGGAUGGACAGGUCCUCUGUACUCUCAGCAGGCCCACCUGCUUGGGGAGAAGGAAUGCCACCUCUUUUGCUCAUCCUGCCCCUGGAGCUGAAGCCCUUAAGGGCAGAGAGCCCUGUAUCCUGCCGUGUCCCUGGUGCCUAACACACAGCAGGGCCCAGUAUAGACUGGACUGCUUGCCCCGCUGAUUCCAGGGCCCGGCCUGAGUCGUGCCUUUAGAAUCAGAAGCCUGCAGACCUGGGGACUGCCGAGGGCAUUGGCCCACCCAGCUUCUGUCUGACCCCCACGCACACAGCCUGUGCGGGUGGGGGGGGCAGGGGGUCGAGGGGCGGACAGCAGCAGAGGGAAGUGGACUGGGCUAGGCUCUGGGAGCACACUCAGGCUACACCCAGGGACGUUGUGAGUGACCCCGGGGUGGGGGGCUGCCCAAGGCUGCUGAGAGAUGGUUUAUAGGCUACAGACUUGCCUAGAUUUCACCAGUGCCUCAGCCCCGGGGCUCUGGGUUGGAUAAACUACUCAAUCUUCCUAGGUGGUACGGCCCCAGUGGCCGUUAGAGGGUUUAAUGAUGUGCAGCCCUCGGCCAAGGCUGAGUGGAAUCCGCACUCAGUAACCGCCGCCACCGCUGGGACGCACAGAAACACUUGUAAACAAGCCAGGCAUAGGUCGCAGGCGGAGACCUGGCCUUGCGUGGUGGCGGCGGUGGCCGCACUGCCAGCUUCCAGGCGGCCCUGCCCUCCUCCAGGCAGCAGGCUUUCUGCCACCUCACGGAUGUGCCCUCCUGAAACCCAGGCCACGAAGGGGACACAGGAGGCUCGCUUUCGGGGGUUCAGCCCUGUCCUGCCAUGCCUCCCGGGCCCUGGCUGUAUUUUCUCCUGUGCCAAUUUCACAGCGACAUGGCUUCUACUCCUGCUGAUUGAACAGUCUGCACUGACAGGGGCGAAGAUUUGCAGUGGAGCUUAUCACAGCCCCAGAGCAUGGGCGGGGUGGCUGGCGGGGGCGCUGGGGAGGCGGCUGUAUUUAUGGCAUGCUGGGAAGACAAACAUACGCAUUUAUAUGUCACUUGUUGCAAUAUAAAUGCUAACUUGUACUCCUUUCAAAACUUUUAAUGAAUUGUAUACAUUCCGAGAGAUUUAUAGGGUGAACGGAAUGGCUCAAAAUGUUACUUUUAACAUAUUUGUCACUUUGGCAACAGCGCCCCCCCUCAAAAAAUCUGGAAGAUAUUGCAUUCAGAAAUAAAUCAUAAACAGGCACAUCCUAAAAGAGGUUU
ensembl:lncRNA